rfam:Anaerostipes sp. CAG:276 genomic scaffold, scf147
AUUAUUCAUCGGUAAAACUAUUGAAAGAUAGUGACACAAAGCCAAGGGUCUAAGGUCCUCAGAACGGGGAUUAUGACAGCCGGUUGCCACA